rnacentral:rRNA from 1 species
CGCGGCCUAUCAGCUUGUUGGUGGGGUGAUGGCCUACCAAGGCGACGACGGGUAGCCGGCCUGAGAGGGCGACCGGCCACACUGGGACUGAGACACGGCCCAGACUCCUACGGGAGGCAGCAGUGGGGAAUAUUGCACAAUGGGCGCAAGCCUGAUGCAGCGACGCCGCGUGAGGGAUGACGGCCUUCGGGUUGUAAACCUCUUUCGCCAGGGACGAAGCCUUUUGGGGUGACGGUACCUGGAGAAGAAGCACCGGCUAACUACGUGCCAGCAGCCGCGGUAAUACGUAGGGUGCGAGCGUUGUCCGGAAUUAUUGGGCGUAAAGAGCUCGUAGGCGGUUUGUCGCGUCGGCCGUGGAAACUGGAGGCUUAACCUUCAGCGUGGGGUCGAUACGAGCAGACUUGAGUUCGGUAGGGGAGUCUGGAAUUCCUGGUGUAGCGGUGAAAUGCGCAGAUAUCAGGAGGAACACCGGCGGCGAAGGCGGGACUCUGGGCCGAUACUGACGCUGAGGAGCGAAAGCGUGGGGAGCGAACAGGAUUAGAUACCCUGGUAGUCCACGCUGUAAACGUUGGGCGCUAGGUGUGGGUGACAUUCCACGUUGUCCGUGCCGUGGCUAACGCAUUAAGCGCCCCGCCUGGGGAGUACGG